CCUACGGGUGGCAGCAGUGAGGAAUAUUGGUCAAUGGGCUUACGCCUGAACCAGCCCAGUCGCGUGAGGGAAGACUGCCCUAUGGGUUGUACACCUCUUUUGUCAGGGAGCAACGCCGGCUACGUGUAGCCGGACUGAGAGUACCUGAAGAAAAAGCAUCGGCUAACUCCGUGCCAGCAGCCGCGGUAAUACGGAGGAUGCGAGCGUUAUCCGGAUUUAUUGGGUUUAAAGGGUGCGUAGGUUGUUUUUUAAGUCAGCGGUGAAAGUUUGUGGCUCAACCAUAAAAUUGCCGUUGAAACUGGAAGACUUGAGUGUGUUUGAGGUAGGUGGAAUGCGUGGUGUAGCGGUGAAAUGCAUAGAUAUCACGCAGAACUCCGAUUGCGAAGGCAGCUUACUAAGCCAUAACUGACACUGAAGCACGAAAGCGUGGGGAUCAAACAGGAUUAGAUACCCCAGUAGUC
rnacentral:rRNA from 1 species